rnacentral:rRNA from 1 species
UACGUAGGGGGCAAGCGUUGUCCGGAUUUACUGGGUGUAAAGGGAGCGUAGACGGCUGUGCAAGUCUGAAGUGAAAGGCAAGGGCUCAACCUUUGGACUGCUUUGGAAACUGUGCAGCUAGAGUGUCGGAGAGGCAAGUGGAAUUCCUAGUGUAGCGGUGAAAUGCGUAGAUAUUAGGAGGAACACCAGUGGCGAAGGCGGCUUGCUGGACGAUGACUGACGUUGAGGCUCGAAAGCGUGGGGAGCAAACAGG